AGAAGCGAAGGGCCACGCCGGGCAGGGCGAGCUGGCAGGGCUGACAGCUGGGUUUCUGCACGAACUUCUCUCCUCUGAAGGUCCUCAGAACUCACUUCGUUCUGAAAGUAGCAGGGGUAGGAGGCACACGGGGCACACCUGCUUCCUGUCUCGUUGCUGGGAGGGGAAGCACAGCCCCCGCCGCCCGGCAGCAGCAGACAGCUCCGUGGUCGCGCCCUGGGCCGGCUCCAAGCAGAACCAAAGCACACCUGGGGCUGCCCUCACCCGGCCCCAGCCUCCAGCCUCCCGGCCGCAACCACCGUGGACUCGAAGGCAGGAAGGCAGUGCCCCGCAGCGCUAAGAAGGGCAUCCUGAGACCCUCGUGACUCCCCUGGCACCGCGUGGCUGAGAAAACCCAGAGAGAAUUUCCCAAGGGGGGGAGGAAGGAGCAGUUGGCCAUGAUGGCUGCUGAGGCCGGGCGAAGCGUGGGCCAGAGAAACAACCCGCCGGGCAAGCUGGGGCACAGAUCAGGCACAGGAGUCGCGAGACUUUCCAAAGCCGAAGAGCCCGCUGGGGCAGCCACCAUCCCGCAGUGACAUCCUCAGGUACAAGCCCUGGAGGAGACACACCACAGCGAUUCGUGGAUCUGUCGGCGCCCCCGAGCCCCACCCGUCCACUCCCUCCCGUGUCCAUGUGGGGUCGAGCACCGCAGAAGGUCUCACACCAACAGCUCACACCGUGAUGAAGAGAAAACACAGUACGUGUAGUUCUGCUUGAUGACAAGGACGGCACCUGGUCCACAUAAACACACACCCCCUCGGGAGGGGUCUGUAGUUCUCGACUGGUGGCCCCGUUAUCCCAGUGGGUGAUCGCUGACACCCACAGCCACCCUCGAUGUCGGUUCUGUUCACGGUCUCCCGAAGGCAGAGCUGCUCCUGAUCUGAAAAGGAGCAAAGCCGCAUGGGGCGAAGGGGACGGGGGCCAGGGCACACUAGCUGUGGUGUGAGAGCGCACCUCCUCCCAGACUCCGAAGGUGGGUCCUGAAUGAGGCGUGUGGCUGCUGGGCUGAUGACAAGCUACUUGCGUCCCUGACCUCCUGGCAACCCCAGGUCCCAGCCUGGCCUCCGCGUCUCCCGCGGCACCAGCACCCCACUUCCCCUGGGAGAAAGGCACGGUGGAACUGAGCCGAUGCCCUUUCCGGGACCCUGUGGACCCUGCUCUGACCACGGGCGGUCUCAGGACCCCAAGGCAUUGCACACGCGUGCACACACCCCCUGCGGAGCCACACUCGGCCCGCAGACUCUCAUUUCCAUUUACGUCCACAAUGACUGCCGUCGCUUGGGUCACAGACCAUCUGUGUGCUGAGUCUUCCCAGAUGCCGCCAGAUGUUCUCAGCGGUAGCCCCUCUCGGGGGAGGGGGGAGGACAGAUUAGUAAUUUGUGUUCUAGUCUCUUCCUAUUUUCUAGAUGUUCUACAGUGAACAUGCACGUACCAGAAAAAGUUCAAGUACACAAUUCUGAAAA